GCGGAUGUAGCCAAGUGGAUCAAGGCAGUGGAUUGUGAAUCCACCAUGCACA
rnacentral:tRNA from 2 species